rnacentral:lncRNA from 1 species
UUUUACUUUAGGUUAUCUGACUCACCCUCUUACUUACCCGCACUCUUCAGGCCCAACCUGGAGAACAUCAUUGGGUCACAUGUCUCAGGAGGGUACCGCCCUGAAGGCCCUCGCGCCGUGUUGAGAGACCGGUACACCCCAUCUCCAGAGCCCCCCCAGUGGAAUAACAGGGAGCCAGAAAGAUAUUCUCCUGAACCGGAGGAUCUGUACGACUUACAGAUGAAUCCAGGGCCUCCUCCGCCCUCAGACACCGGCAGAAACAUAGAAAUAUUUAACCAUGUUUUGAAUGACCUGGAAAUCUUCAUGGAAAGUGUGACUUCAGCACUGAAUGCAGCUCCUCAGAACCCAGAGACAAAGAAAAAGAAGUCAAAAAAGAAAAAAGGUACAGUACUUUUAUUUUUCUCCGUUUUAUAUGUCAUGACAAAGAGCUACUCAUGUGUUGCAUUUAAAUAGCCUCUGAAGCUCAGCCUGCAGUCACUCUGCCAUCAUGGGACCAGUACACGGCCUUUCUUCAGAAAGUGAAAUACGGAUUCAAUCUUCUGGUAAAUCGUUUUUCUCUUCUCCCUUAUGGCUCUGAGCAAUGUACAGUAAU